GAUGAGCUUGGCGGGCUCUCCGGCGUUGCCGCUCUCCAGCUCUCCGGCGCUCAUCAUGAUGGGGCUGCGUGUGUGUGGGGAAGAUGGUCAUUUAUCUUAUCUGCUGUAUAUAUGAAAUCAAACCAAAAUUAAAGAUUGUUGCUUACGUGAUGCCCAUCUUGGCGAAGACAAGCUCACACUGGAAGGAUUUCCCUUGACCCUUGCCUCCCCAGAUACCCAGGAUGAGGGGCACCUUGAUGUUUGGCAGGGUCAUGAAGUUCUUGGAGAGGUGGACGACGAGCUUGUCCAUGAAGGCCGGGGCGAUGUAGAAGCCAUCCUUCAUGUUGUCCCACCCGGUGUAGUCCCUCAAGCCCUGGCUGAGGUACUCGUAGGAGCUGAGCACGGCCUCGUGGGUGCCGUCUCCCAUGGGUGCCUGGAAGAGGGAGUCGACGAAACCCUUGCCCCUGGUGAUGUCCUGCUGGUCGUCGGAGAUGUCGUUGACGAGGCCCCUCCACCUGUCUUUGUCGGUCUGCUUGGUCUCGUCGACAUCCUUGGCGGCCAUGACCUUGAACCUGUUGGCGCUGGAGCUCUUGACAUGGUAGUUCACGGCCGCGGUCGCUUGCGUCCUGAGCUUCUUCCCGAGGAAGCUGGCCGGGGUGGAGGCCUGUAUGUACGUUGUCAAGGAUGCACUUUAAUCGUCAGGCGGCUCUCGCAUAUACGAUCGAUGCAUGAGAUGAUGGAAGAGAACUCACCGGAGCUCCGACGGUGGAGGAGAAGGCGGCCGCCAUCUCUGCGCUGCUUCUUCUUCCUCCUUGGGCGACCUUGCUAGGAAGGGCACGAGUGAUCUAUCACUGAUGGCCGCCGCUGCUGCUCUUCUCAAAGUACUGAGGCCGAGCCUUGCAAGGCAUUAAAUAAAGGAGCACGUGUGGUGGCCGUGUGUCUGCCGCUGCGGCUGCCAUGGCCUGUGGUCGGGAUCGGAGGUCAGGGAAGAGCCGCAAGCCGCGUGGUUGUGGAUCAGCUCCCACAUCUCUCGGAGGCCACACGCUGAGGAUGGGGUUUGGCAGACGUGGCGACAUCCCGGCGGGCCAAUGGGAUGGCUUGCUUGCACUGGCAACACUAAGAGAGUAAGAGACCAUCUCUUGGCUUGUGUUGCAUGACACUGAUAGGCCCCCGGGCCACAGGAAGGCUGCUCCGCCUGCAGGAUGGAUGAGGCAUCCAAAUUUUGUAUCCGCAUGCAGGUUUUCGGGAGUUUCUAAUUUAUUUGUGAUUCACUGGUACUCCCUUAGUUUCAAAUUUUAAGUCAUCCUAAAUUUCUUGGAGAGUCAAGCUAUUUUAUAUUUGAUCAAAAUUAUAUAGAUGAUUACAAAUAUUUGUGGCAUCGAAUAGAUAUACUAUGAAAAUAUAUUUAAUGAAAAAUCUAAUAGUACUUAUUUGGUAUCAUACUUUAUUUAUAAAUUUGAUCGUUUAUACUUUCAAGAAAGUUGGAAUAGAAAAUAUUUACGGAUUCAAGAAUUUAGCAUUUUGCCCUAAUUUUUCACGCAAGCAUGCGCUAGCUAGUACGACUAUAGUAAUUAUUAUGCAACUACAAUAAAUAAAAGCGAAUAGUUUAUGAAAGUGGUCAAUGUAUCUUGAUCAUUUAAAUUUCACUGCGCGAUCCUUCACCAUAUUGAAAUCAUCAAUAAUCGAAUUUGUCGUGACCUUCAUAGCAAUCUCUUUCUCAAUAUGAGACAAGAAAUUAGAAAUCGGAAAUAGUUUAGGAGACAUGGAUUUGCCUACAUUUGGUUUGAGUCGGAGGAGGAACAUCAAGAGCAGAAUGCGCGGUUGAUGUUGCCCUCCAUCGCGGCCGCGACCACUUGCCAUCGUUGGCGUGAUGCCGCAGUCGCAGAGCUAGAGUCCGUGGCGCUGAGCGUGGAUGUCGAGUCCACUGCAACUGCGAGAUUGAAAACGAAACAUAGCGAGGACGAGAUCUUGUCAUCUUAGCGAGCGGCUGCAGGUGGCUGUAUGCGUUGGGCAGUUGGAUUUAGCUCCUAUGAUCUACUGACCAUUGGCUAACAAAGGGUAGCAAACAUUUUUUUUUUGGUUGGGUGUGACCAUGGUCCCUGCCCAGUUCCGGGCCACAGGAAGGCUCCUCCGCCUGCAGGAUGGAUGAGACAUCCAAAUUUUGUAUCCUAGCUAAAGUGCACCACAAAUAUUAAUAUUAAUAUUCUCGUAUAUAUGCCUAUUACAAACUUGUUUCUUGUUAACGCCAAACAUGAAUUGAAGGCAGUUUACAAUUAAUUUGCAAAAAGAUAAAAGAGGACUGGGCAGAGCAUCAUCAGUUGUAGACGCAGCUGCCGUCGUCGCUUCUGGCUGUUGGGUCGAAGUUGCCGGCCUUUGGGUCGGUGCACCCCUCGGGCACGGGCACGCCCACCUGCUGCGCCGCCUUGCCGUAGUACAAGUUGCCGGCGGUGAUGGCUUCGUCGUGGUUGGCGUCGCCGAGCGCCGCCUCGCUGAGGUACUUGUCGGCCAGCUGGACGCGCUUGACGUUCUCCUGCUCCGCCACCAGCAUGUGGCCGUACUCGAGCAGCUUCUCCAGCGUCAUCUUGGGCUGCUGGAACGUCGGCGGGCCCUCCCUGGAGUUGACGAGCUUCCGGCCGAUGUUCUCGAUGCCGGUCUCGGCGACCCACCGGCGCACCUCGUCGUCGUACACCCGGGCUCGCAGCGCGCCGAAGAAGUCGAUGGACUGCCCCGGGAAGGUGUCGACGAGCUUCACGACGGCCUCGUCGGGGACGCCGUCGGUGCGGAAGAUGCCCUUGCAGACUCCUAUCCUAUCCUCGCGGGUGGGCGCCCAGUAGAACUUGUCCAUGCGGCCGUCGCGGAUGAGCGGCGCGUACAGCGUGGAGAAGUCGUUGCCGGUGACGACGAUGGGGACACGGGGGUUCUCCUCCUUGUUGUACAUGCCGGGGAGCUGCACGUUGGUGGGGUUGUCGGCGAUGUUCAUCAGGGUGGCGUUCACCAUCUGGUUGUUCACCGUGUACUGCGUGGUGCCGCCCAUGCGCCCGGCGCCGGCGUCGAGGUCGUUGAUGAAGAGCACGCACAUCCUGCCCUUGCUGAUGAUGUCGGCGGCCUCGCGGUAGCGCUGGCGGAUGAGCUUGGCGGGCUCGCCGGCGUUGCCGCUCUCCAGCUCGCCGGCGCUCAUCAUGACGGGGUUGAUGCCCAUCUUGGCGAAGACGAGCUCGCACUGGAAGGACUUACCCUGGCCCUUGCCCCCCCAGAUGCCCAGGAUGAGGGGCACCUUGAUGUUGGGCAGGGACAUGAAGUUCUUGGCGAUGUGGACCACCAGCUUGUCCAUGAACGCCGGAGCGAUGUAGUAGCCGUCCAUCAUGUUGUCCAGGUUGUACUGACGGAGACCCUGGCUGAGGUACUCGUAGGAGCUGAGCACGGCCUCGUGGGUGCCGUCGCCCAUGGGCGCCUGGAACAGGGAGUCCACCAGGCCCUUGCCGCGAGUGAUGUCCUGCUGGUCGUCGGAGAUGUCGUGGGCGAGGCCCCUCCACCUGUCGCUCUUGGUCU
rnacentral:lncRNA from 1 species